AGCAGUUUCACACCAACACCUAGGAUUACUCUGUGUGUUAUAAGUUUGAGAAAAAUAAUAAUCAGAGAAAGUUAUGACUGAAAGGGAAAUAACUUAGAAAAAAACUGGUGGGAAGGUAUAAAGUUGGGAGGUGGUUGAGAACCAUUGACGUAGACUGACUUAGCAGAUCUUCAAACGUGAAUAGGGAAUCCUGCCAUUCCACUGAUGAGAACAGCUUGCUUAGGAUAUUGCUUCUGAGAACACUGUGCUGUUUGAUCAACACUAAUGAACCAACAGCCAUAUUGAAGAGCCUGGUCUGUAUCAAUGUAAUGGGACAUUUGAAGUAACAGAGGCCUAGGGUUUUCUAAUUAAAGUCCAGAGGCAUCCUGUUGUAUGUAGUGGCCACAUAACAGACUGCAAAGAACUGGAACGCAGAGUAAUUUUAAUCCAAAAUGUUCAAAGACCAAGACAAGUGGCAAGCCAUAUGAUGACUGACCAGAAACGUUAGAAAGAAUGGAAGAUGGUUUCCUGAAGCUUUGCUACUCUGGAGGUGGAAUGAAUUGUGCCAAAUGUCAACUUUUAUGGCUCAAUGAGCCCUUUCCUGAGUCUGUCAACAGUGAACUAAAGAAAUACAAUCUCUGUUUCUCCAGUCAACAGUAGAACAGUGCUUGCACUCCCGAUAUUUAUGGAUAUAUUUAUACAAUUCUCACAAACCUGACACCAAUGGCCUGGGAUCAACGUAGACAAGUGGUAAAGAAAAACAGAAUGAUUCUCUGAAAGGAUGCAUAUUAAAAAAAUAAAAGAUUUGUGUUCUGAAUGGCUUGUUUUGAGAAAAAGAUAUGCUUCAACUGAGAUCUACAUGAUGCAGCAAAUAAAAACAAGAUGAAUGAAAUGAUAGGAUAGAAGCCUGGCGGACAUCUGGACAGAACUAUGCAAAAGCCUUCCUGAGAAUGGAAGCCACAGGAGGGAAAACGGAACUUGGGAAAGGAAAGAGUAAAGUGGAAUUUCAGUGACAUCAUUUAAAUGCCUGGAUCCAAAAGUGUCUGGACAUUCAAUAUCAAAAUAUUUGCUUCUCACAUCAUAUUUCAGUGAUGUGAGCCAAAUGUUACCUUCCACCACCCUUUUAAGAGUCCACUUGAUUUCAGUGUUCCUUCACUUGCAACCAGAGUUCUCACUGAUAAUUGUCUAUAUGGUGGUUCAUUCCUCCCUCAGUGGUAUAUGACAAUGAAACAAGAAGGUAUGGCAGGUUAAAAGUCAUAGGGUACCACAACAUUACACACUGAGCCACAAAAGCAGCUCAAAGCCAUGGUUUGUGGGGCUCCACCUCUUGCUCUCUGCAAGGCAUUAAUACAUGGUGGGAGAAAAUUAUAAGAUCUAUAUCGUCACAGA
rnacentral:lncRNA from 1 species